AACAGGAUUAGAUACCCUGGUAGUCCACGCCCUAAACGAUGCCAACUAGGUGUUGGGGAAGGAGACUUCCUUAGUACCGUAGCUAACGCGUGAAGUUGGCCGCCUGGGGAGUACGGUCGCAAGAUUAAAACUCAAAGGAAUUGACGGGGACCCGCACAAGCGGUGGAUGAUGUGGAUUAAUUCGAUGCAACGCGAAAAACCUUACCUACCCUUGACAUGCCAGGAACCCUGCUGAGAGGUGGGGGUGCUCGAAAGAGAGCCUGGACACAGGUGCUGCAUGGCUGUCGUCAGCUCGUGUCGUGAGAUGUUGGGUUAAGUCCCGCAACGAGCGCAACCCUUGUCAUUAGUUGCCAUCAUUUAGUUGGGCACUCUAAUGAGACUGCCGGUGACAAACCGGAGGAAGGUGGGGAUGACGUCAAGUCCUCAUGGCCCUUAUGGGUAGGGCUUCACACGUCAUACAAUGGUCGGUACAGAGGGUUGCCAAGCCGCGAGGUGGAGCCAAUCCCAGAAAGCCGAUCGUAGUCCGGAUCGGAGUCUGCAACUCGACUCCGUGAAGUCGGAAUCGCUAGUAAUCGUGGAUCAGCAUGCCACGGUGAAUACGUUCCCGGGUCUUGUACACACCGCCCGUCACACCAUGGGAGUGGGUUUCACCAGAAGUAGGUAGCCUAACCGCAAGGAGGGCGCUUACCACGGUGGGAUUCAUGACUGGGGUGAAGUCGUAACAAGGUAACC
rnacentral:rRNA from 1 species